rfam:Bombyx mori DNA, contig: Bm_scaf52_contig26955, strain: p50T/Dazao, build 2, whole genome shotgun sequence.
UUAACUCAAAUUUGUAUGGAGUUGGAAUGUUCGCCUAAGUUUGCCGCUAGGGGCGCUGUUCCAACUGCAUACAAAUUUGAAUUA